rnacentral:lncRNA from 1 species
GGGUUCUCCUCAGCACAGACGCGGAGAGCAUCGCGAGGGCGGAGCUGCGUUCUCAUCUGCACAGAUUUCAGUGGUACUGCGAAGGCGGAGCAGAGUUCUCCUCAGAUGAUGAUUAUUCCCCACCUUCUAAGAGACAAAGACCAACGAGCCGCCACAGCCACCAGUCCCAGAACCCGCCAAUGCUGGGGAACGGAAAAUGAGGGAGUUCAACUCUGGCCCUCACAAUCCAGUGGAGGAGACGCAACUCAUCUGCCUCUGUCCCUCUGGGCACGCCUCGUGCCAGGUGCAUCUGUGGACAGGGGCCAUGCUCCUGGGCUUCCAAAGUUGGAGAAAGCUGCCAGGCUCAGGUCUGAAGGCCAGAAUUCUACAGUAAGUCCUACUGAGUCAAGGUGGGAGCAGGGUCGGUAGCUUCCGAGGCUCUGCGGGAGAAUCUGUUUCCUGGCCGUAGAGGUGGCCUGCACUCCUCAGCCUGUGCUGCCCGUCUCGAAUGACUGGAGUUUCCUGCUUCUGUCACUACACCUCCCACCCUCUCCAUCACCUGCUCUGCUCUUACAAGGAUCCGAAGAAAUGGAAUCAUCGUAUCGCUGAUCUACGUAAACAAACUGAAGAAUUGUCUGAAAGAAAAUAUGACAUGAACUUAUGAAUUCAAUAGGUGAAGAUUUACAACUUGAUAAAUCAACUUUGUCAGCUCGAGCUGUAAAAGCCAAAGGUCCGGUGAUGAUCCCAUACCCUUUUUUCCAGUCUCAUGUUGAAGAUUUUUAUGUAGAAGGCCUUCCCAAAGGAAUUUUUUUUUUUUUUUUUUUUUUGAGAUGGAGUUUUCACUCUUAUCGCCCAGGCUGGGGUGCAAUGGCACAACCUUGCUGGUCACUGCAACCUCUGCCUCCUGGGUUCAAGAAAUUCUCCUGCCUUAGCCUCCCAAGUCACUGGGAUUACAGGUGCCCACCACCACACCAGGCUAAUUUUUGUAUUUUUAGUGGAGAUGCGGUUUCACCAUGUUGGCCGGGCCAGUCUCGAACUCCUGACGUCAAGUGAUCUUCCCGCCUCGACUCCUGAUAUCAAGUGAUCUUCCCGCCUCGGCCUCCCAGAGUGCUGAGAUUACAGACGUGAACCCAUGCCUGGCCAGGAAUUUUGUUUUUUAGGAAGGCUUUCUACUAAUGGAAUUCCUGGCCUUGAGAGGAUGUUACUUUAGAAGGAAAGGAUUUUUUUGUUAUUAAAAGAGCCACCUAAGCUGAAGAUUCCCUUGAGAACAAGUACUGUCCCUAGUUUCCCAGUGCUGGAAUAUAGAAAAUGGAUGGACAACUGGACCUACCAUGAAAGACUUCUGAAUCCAGGAAGAGAAACUGACUGGGCAACAUGUUAUUCAGAAACAGGACCUUGCCCUGUCACUCAGGAUGGAGUUCAGUGGUCCUAUCAUGGCUCAUUAUAGCCUCAAACUCCCAGGCUCAAGCAAUCCUACCAUGUCAGCCUUCCCAGUAGCUGGAACUACAGGUAAGCAUCGUGACACUCAGUGAAUUUUGUUUUUAUUUUGUUGUAGAGAUGGGACCUCAGUAUGUUGCCAUGGCUGACCUUGAACUCCUGCACUCAAGGGAUUUUCCUACCCUGGCCUCCCAAAGUAUUGGUAUUACAGGCAUGAGCCAUUGUGCCCACCGUCUCUGGUUCUUAACCUUCUGCCUCCCUCUUCCAGUUUUAAAGAAUGCUUGUAAUUACAUGGGCUCUCCUAGAUACUCCAGGAUAAUCUUGUUUUAAGGUCAGCUGAUGAGCAACAUUAAUUUUAUCUGCACUCUUAAUUCCCCCUUCCUAUGUAAUUGUGCUGUGUAACAUAGGACAUGAGCAAUUGGUGGCGGUGGGGGUUAUUACUUUGGCCACCACAGUAACUAUUUUAUGCCAGGUACUCAGCUAAGCACUGGUGAAUUAAGCAUGAAUAACACACACUCCUUAAUCUCCAUCCAUUCAUGGGAGGAGCACUUCACCUGCCAUGCUCCUGAGAAUCUCGGGAGU